AGAGUGUAGAGUGUUCAUAGUAAACUUAUCAGAUAGUGAAAGAAAUAUUAAAUAUGUGGGUGGUGACCAGUUCCUGUUAUAUAUCCAACACUUCUUCAGACUUACACAGUCGGAGCAGCAGCGUUCAGGUACAGCUCUACAACCAGCGCAGAAGAAAAGAGCUACAGCAACAACAGAUUUGAGGCGCUGUUCACAGAAGCCAGGAUAACUCCAGACAUGUGCUCGCGUUGGGUGUUCGAUAAACCACGACAACAAGUACAAACCCGAUCAAGAGCCCAAACACCAGUCCAAACACCAGCAUACAUACCAACUGAAACAGCAGUCCAAACACCAAAUCCUGCGAACAUAUGUCCCUAAGAAUCUUUUACAGUCAGGACAUGAAUGAUGAACAUCCUGGAAUGCUUGAAUGCAGCAGGGAAUCAAGCAGCAUCCACAGAUGAGCCUGAAACACACAGUAGACGUCUAUCAGUGUUUUUCCACAUGAAAUAAUCACAGUCUCACCUCCACACUAACUCCUCUGUGCUGCCAGGACUUAAUCACGUGACUGACUGAAUUAUUUCCGGAGUUACUCUGAUGUUGUGUCUUACCCCAGAAGUGUAAGCAGACAGCACAUGCCCCAUGCUGCACAUCCGGGUUUAUAAAGCACACUGGUGGUAAUUUGGUGAUGGCAGUGCGGGCA